GGCGGCGGUCCGUACUUCUAUGCAGUCGAGCGGAUGACAGGGAGCUUGCUCCUGGAUUCAGCGGCGGACGGGUGAGUAAUGCCUAGGAAUCUGCCUGGUAGUGGGGGACAACGUUUCGAAAGGAACGCUAAUACCGCAUACGUCCUACGGGAGAAAGCAGGGGACCUUCGGGCCUUGCGCUAUCAGAUGAGCCUAGGUCGGAUUAGCUUGUUGGUGAGGUAAUGGCUCACCAAGGCGACGAUCCGUAACUGGUCUGAGAGGAUGAUCAGUCACACUGGAACUGAGACACGGUCCAGACUCCUACGGGAGGCAGCAGUGGGGAAUAUUGGACAAUGGGCGAAAGCCUGAUCCAGCCAUGCCGCGUGUGUGAAGAAGGUCUUCGGAUUGUAAAGCACUUUAAGUUGGGAGGAAGGGUUGUAGAUUAAUACUCUGCAAUUUUGACGUUACCGACAGAAUAAGCACCGGCUAACUCUGUGCCAGCAGCCGCGGUAAUACAGAGGGUGCAAGCGUUAAUCGGAAUUACUGGGCGUAAAGCGCGCGUAGGUGGUUUGUUAAGUUGGAUGUGAAAGCCCCGGGCUCAACCUGGGAACUGCAUCCAAAACUGGCAAGCUAGAGUACGGUAGAGGGUGGUGGAAUUUCCUGUGUAGCGGUGAAAUGCGUAGAUAUAGGAAGGAACACCAGUGGCGAAGGCGACCACCUGGACUGAUACUGACACUGAGGUGCGAAAGCGUGGGGAGCAAACAGGAUUAGAUACCCUGGUAGUCCACGCCGUAAACGAUGUCAACUAGCCGUUGGAAUCC
rnacentral:rRNA from 1 species